GACGAACGCUGGCGGCGUGCUUAACACAUGCAAGUCGAACGGAAAGGCCCUGCUUUUGUGGGGUGCUCGAGUGGCGAACGGGUGAGUAACACGUGAGUAACCUGCCCUUGACUUUGGGAUAACUUCAGGAAACUGGGGCUAAUACCGGAUAGGAGCUCCUGCUGCAUGGUGGGGGUUGGAAAGUUUCUGCGGUUGGGGAUGGACUCGCGGCUUAUCAGCUUGUUGGUGGGGGAGGGGUUUACCAAGGGUUUGGCGGGUAGCCGGCCUGAGAGGGUGACCGGCCACCUUGGGACUGCGAUACGGCCCAGACGCCUACGGUAGGCAGCGGUGGGGAAUAUUGCACAAUGGGCGGAAGCCUGAUGCAGCAGCGCCGCGUGCGGGAUGACGGCCUUCGGGUUGUAAACCGCUUUCGCCUGUGACGAAGCGUGAGUGACGGUAAUGGGUAAAGAAGCACCGGCUAACUACGUG
rnacentral:rRNA from 1 species